CAUGCAAGUCGAGCGGUAAGGCCUUUCGGGGUACACGAGCGGCGAACGGGUGAGUAACACGUGGGUGAUCUGCCCUGCACUUCGGGAUAAGCCUGGGAAACUGGGUCUAAUACCGGAUAUGACCUCCUGUCGCAUGGYGGGUGGUGGAAAGAUUUAUCGGUGCAGGAUGGGCCCGCGGCCUAUCAGCUUGUUGGUGGGGUAAUGGCCUACCAAGGCGACGACGGGUAGCCGACCUGAGAGGGUGACCGGCCACACUGGGACUGAGACACGGCCCAGACUCCUACGGGAGGCAGCAGUGGGGAAUAUUGCACAAUGGGCGAAAGCCUGAUGCAGCGACGCCGCGUGAGGGAUGACGGCCUUCGGGUUGUAAACCUCUUUCAGCAGGGACGAAGCGCAAGUGACGGUACCUGCAGAAGAAGCACCGGCUAACUACGUGCCAGCAGCCGCGGUAAUACGUAGGGUGCAAGCGUUGUCCGGAAUUACUGGGCGUAAAGAGUUCGUAGGCGGUUUGUCGCGUCGUUUGUGAAAACCAGCAGCUCAACUGCUGGCUUGCAGGCGAUACGGGCAGACUUGAGUACUGCAGGGGAGACUGGAAUUCCUGGUGUAGCGGUGAAAUGCGCAGAUAUCAGGAGGAACACCGGUGGCGAAGGCGGGUCUCUGGGCAGUAACUGACGCUGAGGAACGAAAGCGUGGGUAGCGAACAGGAUUAGAUACCCUGGUAGUCCACGCCGUAAACGGUGGGCGCUAGGUGUGGGUUCCUUCCACGGAAUCCGUGCCGUAGCUAACGCAUUAAGCGCCCCGCCUGGGGGAGUACGGCCGCAAGGCUA
rnacentral:rRNA from 1 species